GUUUUAAGUUCUUUGUUAAUAUGUCAACAAGGAAGAAAAGAGUCCAAAUGUUAGCAGAGCUACAACCUGAAUCAUAACAGAAGAGUCUUCAAUUCAAGUACAGGAAAUCAUUCCAUGAACUACUAUGUUGGGUCUGAAGCCAAAGUGGUGUUCAUCAAGGUGCGUACGAUAUCACCUUAUAAGGAGAAUAUCCUGACGCUCUCUUGAUCGUAUCACUGGUAUUGCUUUUGCUGCAGUUCACAACCAGACCAUAGGAUAUCUUGAAAGACUUUAUCAGCAAAAGGAAUGAUUGUUCUGAAAACUAUAUGUAGUGAUUCCGCAAAUUAAUUUACAAAUCAUUAUUCUAAGUAAGAUUUCUAGAGAGAAUAACAAUAAAUUCUUUUGAAAGAAUUUUGAAAAUUUAGAUAUUAAUCAACUAAUAAAAAAGCAGAAAAUGUUAAAAACGCUCAGCUGCCCAGACAGCAUCUGUGAAAAGGGAUACAAAGAUGACAUUUCACAUCAAAAACACUUCAUCAUAUAAAUCUGCUUAUUUUAAUUUGUUAAGGAAGGUUAGAUUAGACAAGGAAUAAUAGAG